CUUUGGGCGAUUAUCUUAUAUGGGUGUGUAAAAUAGUUAUUGUGAAAAUCUCAUUUUAAAUAAUACAGUCUGAGAUUAUACCAGAAUUUCUGUAACUUAGAAAUAUGUUUGGGAUUUUUAAGAAUAAGCACAACAACCUGACUUGCAAGCUGAGGGUCAGCUGGUUUCCCCCUUGGCUUGUGGCUUUUCAGGUUCAAAUGCAACUUCAGAGUUAGCACUACCUGUUGGUAGCAAAUGGCUCUCACCCAGCGGAGCGGAGGACUGUGCAGCCAUACGAUAAAUCUAAAAUGUAUUUUUGGAUGGAGGUCAGCAGGCAGGUGGUCAGACGGGAGCAGUCAUCUCCUGGUUCUUGCCUUUUGUGGCUUCUGCAUUUCAGAGUUUUAGAAAAAUGUUUAAAUAACCAUGACAGCAAGUGAGAUGAACUUUUCACAUUUCGGGGAACACCGCGUCACCUGGCCCGGCUGCAGGAACCUUUCACCUUUACAUUGGCUGUGUUCUUCCCUGGCAGGACCUCAUUGGCAUUUCUGUACUAGUGGGGAGUAGAGGCUCAGAGUCAGUAACUAGUCACACAGUAAGUGGCAGAGCCCAGCUUUGAACCACGAAGCCUUGCUUGAAGGCUUGGGCAUCUAGAGGGCACCUCUCUAGAGGCUAGAAACGUGUAGCUGUGAAGUGGUUUUGUGUCGAGAGGCGAAUAGGUAAACACUGACUUUACAGUAAUCCCAAGUGGCCCUGACUGGUGUGGCUCAGAGGGUUGAGU